GAUGAACGCUGGCGGCGUGCCUAAUACAUGCAAGUCGAACGGGGAGUACAUACUUCGGUUUAUACUCCUAGUGGCGAACGGGUGAGUAACGCGUUGGUGACCUGCCCCGAAGCGGGGGACAACAGCUCGAAAGGGCUGCUAAUACCCCAUGUGGUCUCUGAGACUAGACGCUUGGUGACUAAAGGAGCAAUCCACUUCGGGAGGGGCCUGCGUCCCAUCAGCUAGUUGGUAAGGUAACGGCCUACCAAGGCGAAGACGGGUAGGGGGCCUGAGAGGGUGGCCCCCCACACUGGCACUGAAACACGGGCCAGACACCUACGGGUGGCAGCAGUAGGGAAUAUUGCACAAUGGGCGAAAGCCUGAUGCAGCAACGCCGCGUGCGCGAAGAAGGCCUUCGGGUUGUAAAGCGCUUUUCUGGAGGAAGAGAAUGGACGGUACUCCAGGAAUAAGGAUCGGCUAACUACGUG
rnacentral:rRNA from 1 species